rnacentral:rRNA from 1 species
AUGACGACUCUCGGCAACGGAUAUCUCGGCUCUCGCAUCGAUGAAGAACGUAGCGAAAUGCGAUACUUGGUGUGAAUUGCAGAAUCCCGUGAACCAUCGAGUCUUUGAACGCAAGUUGCGCCCGAAGCCAUCAGGAUGAGGGCACGUCUGUUUGGGCGUCACG